rnacentral:rRNA from 1 species
UACAGAGGUCUCAAGCGUUGUUCGGAUUCAUUGGGCGUAAAGGGUGCGUAGGCGGCGCGGUAAGUCGGGUGUGAAAUCUCAGAGCUUAACUCUGAAACUGCAUUCGAUACUGCCGUGCUUGAGGACUGGAGAGGAGACUGGAAUUUACGGUGUAGCGGUGAAAUGCGUAGAUAUCGUAAGGAAGACCAGUGGCGAAGGCGGGUCUCUGGACAGUUCCUGACGCUGAGGCACGAAGGUCAGGGGAGCAAACGGG